GCAGAUCAAAAGCAAUUAACUAUAAACUGAAGGAUCUUAUCAAACAUAUUAUUAUUGUUAUUCAAAUUAAACACGCGAAAUUCGAAAAGCUUGUACACACAUAUUAUCCAAAGACACAGAUAAAAUUAACUUCCAUGACGUGAAUUAUUUUUCUUACUCACACAUUCAUAGUCAGAUACAUGCAGACAUGCAUGUAAAAUACUCAAAAUAUUUGAGCACACAGAUCCAAAUCAAGGGCAUCUCUCGUUCUGGCCAGGGCCACCGUAGAAGAAAUUAACCCCCCAGGAACUUCCAGCAUCUCCUGCUUUAAUGUUGUAACAGUUAUCAUGACCAGUCGUGGGGUAAACUCCUUGUGGUUCUAUCAGAGUAUUGGUUUCAUCGAUUGUCAUAAGAUUCCUGAAAUAGCUCGCUUUCUUAAAACCUUCAUCUGCAAAAUGCCCGCUUCCCAUGUCCGUGGUCGUGUGUUUCCCACCAGUCUCCAAGUUAACGAUUUCACCUCCCCAUUGAACUAUGGUAGCUCCAUCUCCUAGAGAAUUGAAUAACUUGCCAGGCCAGUACCCCACAAGCUCUUCACCGACCUUUAGCCACCAGUUUUCGCCAUCCUAUAUAUAAUUAUCGACAAUCCACUUUGGGUUGAGAUGCAGAUAUAACAUAACGUAGGGACAACUCAAUUACACCUCAUAUUGUUACUAAAAAGAGAAAAAGACAUUAUACAUGUUAGCUCUUAGUACAUAUAAGCAUGGAGAGGUCGUAUUGAUCUCCGUCGUAUUCUGAGACGGUGGUGUAGGUUCCACCUACAGUGAUAAGAUUGCUCCUUUGAACGAAACCUGAGCAUAAGUUGUUGUAGCACCCUGUCCUUUGGUAUCCAUCGG
rnacentral:lncRNA from 1 species